UACGUAGGGUGCGAGCGUUUGUCCGGAAUUAUUGGGCGUAAAGAGCUCGUAGGCGGUGUGUCACGUCGGCCGUGAAAACCUGCAGCUUAACUGUGGGCGUGCGGUCGAUACGGGCAUCACUGGAGUUCGGCAGGGGAGACUGGAAUUCCUGGUGUAGCGGUGAAAUGCGCAGAUAUCAGGAGGAACACCGGUGGCGAAGGCGG
rnacentral:rRNA from 1 species